GCCCUUGAUCCUGGCUCAGGAUUAACGCUGGCGGCGUGCUUAAUACAUGCAAGUCGAACGGAAAUCUUUUAGAUUUUAGUGGCGAACGGGUGAGUAACACGUAAGCAACCUGCCUUUAAGACGAGAAUAACAAUUGGAAACAGUUGCUAAGGCUGGAUAGGAAAUAAAAAGGCAUCUUCUUAUUUUUAAAAGACCUUUUUCGGAAGGUAUGCUUAAAGAGGGGCUUGCGUCACAUUAGUUAGUUGGUAGGGUAAAGGCCUACCAAGACGAUGAUGUGUAGCUGGACUGAGAGGUUGAACAGCCACAUUGGGACUGAGACACGGCCCAAACUCCUACGGGAGGCAGCAGUAGGGAAUUUUCGGCAAUGGAGGAAACUCUGACCGAGCAACGCCGCGUGAACGACGAAGUACUUCGGUAUGUAAAGUUCUUUUAUUGAAGAAGAAACAAUAGUGGAAAAACUAUCUUGACGUUAUUCAAUGAAUAAGCCCCGGCUAACUAUGUGCCAGCAGCCGCGGUAAUACAUAGGGGGCGAGCGUUAUCCGGAAUUAUUGGGCGUAAAGGGUGCGUAGGCGGUUUAAUAAGUCUCUAGUUUAAUUUCAACGCUUAACGUUGUCCUGCUAGAGAAACUGUUUAACUAGAGUGAGAUAGAGGUAAGCGGAAUUCCAUGUGUAGCGGUAAAAUGUGUAAAUAUAUGGAGGAACACCAGAGGCGUA
rnacentral:rRNA from 1 species